GUAGAAGAAAGAAGGGUUUGGGUUUUCCCUCCACUUCUAGGGGUCAAGGUGAGGUAGGUGGGCAGUGGCUGGAUGUGGCCCCUCACCUGUGCUUCGUUAAAGCCUGAGCAGGGCAUAGAGUGGCUGCAGCUGCUUUCCUCCUCUGCCUGCGUAUGGGAUGAGAAAUGAAAACCAGUACUUCUGUUUCUGGCUGCUUGACUCCCCAUUUCCAUAGCUUUGGCUUGUAGCAGGCUUGUGGUUGCCACGAUCAUGAAGACUUGCUGACGAGAGGGCGAAAAUGAAGGGAAGCCAUGCCAGCCUAGAGGGAACUAGUUCCUUAUCAAACAUCUCACAACGUCUCCUUACUUUUGGAUUUAAUAAACUUUGCAUUUUUGGAAAGAGCUCAUCAACAAAUUCAGCUGUUUUGCUGGUUGGGUCCAUCCCGCACAGGCAGAAAGCCCUUGGUUGACGUCCCUUUGCCACCUGCAUGCUCUGGGAUAGAGGAUGAUCCCUACACUGGGUUAUUAUACAACAUCAACUGCUGCAAAAAUGCUAAAACUAAAUCGUGGAGAAAGAGUAAGGUAACAGAGCUCCAAAGCUGCUAAUCUCAACGGAGAAAGUAGAAAAUCUUGUUAUUAUUAUACUUCUCCAACUCCAGAUCCCAGUGAGCCACGUCUAGGGAAGGGAGCAGGAAGAGGAGUGGAUUUGAGCUAUACGAAGAUUCUGAGCAUCUGCAGCAGUGAAAUGAAGAUUCACAAUUCCAGCCAAGCAAGAAUCUCCUGGGAGCAGCAAGAGCCUCUGAAGAAGCAAUAUUUGGAUGGGAAACUUAUGUCCUCCAAGCUGGCGAGUUGCAACACUGACACAGAUUUUUCUUGUCGCUGCAAAACUCUUCCUGUAGAAGGCACAGAAAACUCAGGAUUUGGAGCAUGGAAAGUACAAAUCCAGGGCAGCCAGAGGGGCUCCCACAGGGUCCCCAAAGGUUCCCCUGGGUAUCCCUUUGGAUGUCUUUGAGAAAACCUUUCCCUCUGCUCCCGAAGAAGAGGCUCCCAAAAGCAGCAAGAUGGGGGAGAGAUUCUUCUGGCACACCAAUAGGUCUAAAUUCAAGGAUUCAGAUUUUGCCCUUGCUUUUGCCACCACAAAUGAGAGCUGGAUCCCAACAAGUCUUAACUCCACAGAGCCGGCACUC
rnacentral:lncRNA from 7 species